rnacentral:rRNA from 1 species
UGAGGAAUUUUGCGCAAUGGGGGAAACCCUGACGCAGCAACGCCGCGUGAGUGAAGAAGGCCUUUGGGUCGUAAAGCUCUGUCGACAGGGAAGAAAUUGUUGUUAUCCAACAGGUAACAGCAUUGACGGUACCUGUAGAGGAAGCACCGGCUAACUCCGUGCCAGCAGCCGCGGUAACACGGGGGGUGCAAGCGUUAUUCGGAAUUAUUGGGCGUAAAGGGCGCGUAGGCGGUCUUGUCGGUCAGAUGUGAAAGCCCGGGGCUCAACCCCGGACGUGCAUUUGAAACAGCAAGACUUGAGUACGGGAGAGGAAAGCGGAAUUCCUGGUGUAGAGGUGAAAUUCGUAGAUAUCAGGAGGAACACCGAUGGCGAAGGCAGCUUUCUGGACCGAUACUGACGCUGAGGCGCGAAGGCGUGGGUAGCGAACA